UUUUAAGGUCAAGCUACAAAGGGCGCAUGGUGAAUGCCUUGGCACUAGGAGCCGAAGAAGGACGCGAUAAGCUGCGAUAAGCCUUGGGUAGCCGCAAAUAGGCUGAGAUCCAGGGAUUUCCGAAUGAGGAAACUCACAUGGGUAACCCCAUGUAUCAUGCACUGAAUACAUAGGUGUAUGAGGGUAAACCCGGGGAACUGAAACAUCUAAGUACCCGGAGGAAGAGAAAGAAAAAUCGAUUUCCUAAGUAGCGGCGAGCGAACGGGAAAGAGCCCAAACCAGAAACUUGUUUCUGGGGUUGUGGAUAGAUCAUGAAAGAAGAGAUAUCUUAAUCGAAGAGGGCUGGAACGCCCUACCAUAGAAGGUAAUAGUCCUGUAGGUAAAAAGAGAAAACUUUAAGAUCUAAUCCAGAGUACCACGAGACACGUGAAACCUUGUGGGAAGCAGGGAGGACCACCUCCCAAGGCUAAAUACUACCUAGUGACCGAUAGUGAAGCAGUACCGUGAGGGAAAGGUGAAAAGAACCCCGGAAGGGGAGUGAAAUAGAACCUGAAACCGUGUGCCUACAACCGAUCGGAGCACGUUAAAGUGUGACGAUGUGCUUUUUGUAGAACGAGCCAGCGAGUUACGCUAUGUAGCAAGGUUAAGUACUUAAGGUAUGGAGCCGAAGGGAAACCGAGUCUGAAAAGGGCGAAAAGUUGCAUGGUGUAGACCCGAAACCGGGUGACCUAUCCAUGGCCAGGUUGAAGCGAGAGUA
rnacentral:rRNA from 1 species